UUCUUCUUUUUCUUCUUUUUCUUCUUGUUUUGGCUCCUUAUUUCCGAAAUUAGAAGCAGAUAGAGUAAGAUAAGAGAGAAGGUAGAU
rnacentral:ribozyme from 1 species